rnacentral:rRNA from 1 species
AUGGCUCAGUGAGGCCUUGGGACUGGCUCAGAGAGGUCGGCAACGACCACUCAGAGCCGGAAACUUGGUCAAACUUGGUCAUUUAGAGGAAGUAAAAGUCGUAACAAGGUUUCCGUAGGUGAACCUGCGGAAGGAUCAUUAAAGAGUUAGGGUCUCUUGCAGGCCCGACCUCCCAACCCAAUGUUUAUUGAACCUUUAUUGUUGCUUCGGCGGGCCCGCCCUGACUGGGCCGCCGGAGGGUCACCGCCCGGUGUCCUCUGGCCCGCGCCCGCCGAUGGCCUCUUUAACUUCUGCAUGAAUCGUGUCAUACACAUGUCUAAGUCUUGAUUGAUAAAUCAAAAGCAAAACUUUCAACAACGGAUCUCUUGGUUCUGGCAUCGAUGAAGAACGCAGCGAAAUGCGAUAAGUAAUGCGAAUUGCAGAAUUCCAGUGAGUCAUCGAAUCUUUGAACGCACAUUGCGCCCUUUGGUAUUCCGAAGGGCAUGCCUGUUCGAGCGUCAUUAUCACCACUCGAGCCCCCCCGGGGUUUGGUAUUGGAGGCUGUGGUCGGGAACGACCCCUCUAAAAGACAAUGACGGCGGCCCGACGGCGCCCCCGGUACACUGAGCUUCGUAACUGAGCACGUAUCGGAUAAAGGGUGCCCGGGACCCGGUCUUCUCCCUCACGGGAAACUUUACCAGGUUGACCUCGGAUCAGGUAGGAAUACCCGCUGAACUUAAGCAUAUCAAUAAGCGGAGGAAAAGAAACCAACAGGGAUUGCCUCAGUAACGGCGAGUGAAGCGGCAACAGCUCAAAUUUGAAAUCUGGCUCCUUUGGAGUCCGAGUUGUAAUUUGUAGAGGAUGUUUCGGGUACCGCUCCGGUUUAAAUUUCUUGGAACAGAAUGUCAGAGAGGGUGAGAAUCCCGUCUUGGACCGGUGGUAGGGCUCAUGUGAAACUCCCUCGACGAGUCGAGUUGUUUGGGAAUGCAGCUCAAAAUGGGUGGUAAAUUUCAUCUAAAGCUAAAUAUUGGCCAGAGACCGAUAGCGCACAAGUAGAGUGAUCGAAAGAUGAAAAGCACUUUGAAAAGAGAGUUAAACAGUAUGUGAAAUUGUUGAAAGGGAAGCGCUUGCAACCAGACUUGAGCGUGACGGUUCCCCCUUCCUUUUGGUUGGGCUACUCCGUCAUGUCCAGGCCAACAUCGGUUCUGGGGGUCGGUUAAAGGCCCUGGGAAUGUAUCUACCUCCGGGUCGACUUAUAGCCCAGGGUGUCAUGCGACCACCCGGGACCGAGGAACGCGCUUCGGCUCGGAUGUUGGCGUAAUGGUUGUAAGCGACCCGUCUUGAAACACGGACCAAGGAGUCUAACAUCUAUGCGAGUGUUUGGGUGUCAAACCCGGAACGCGAAAUGAAAGUGAACGGAGGUAGGAAGCUUCGGCUGCACUAUCGACCGAUCCUGAUGUCUUCGGAUGGAUUUGAGUAAGAGCAUAGCUGUUGGGACCCGAAAGAUGGUGAACUAUGCCUGAAUAGGGUGAAGCCAGAGGAAACUCUGGUGGAGGCUCGCAGCGGUUCUGACGUGCAAAUCGAUCGUCAAAUUUGGGUAUAGGGGCGAAAGACUAAUCGAACC